AGGGGGGCAAACCCUAAGUUUCCGUGUUCAACGUUUGACUGUCCGUCUUAUAUAAUUUUUUUUAUAAUUAGUAUUUUUAUUGGUGUUAGAUGAUAAAAUAUAAUUAAUACUUUAUACGUGACUUGUCUUUUUAAUUUUUUUUUAUAAUUUUUUCAAAUAAGACGAACGGUCAAACGUUAGAUAUGAAAAUCGAUUCUGACG
rfam:Oryza sativa (indica cultivar-group) chromosome 2, whole genome shotgun sequence.